CGGGGUGCACCAGGCGCGAAAACUUUACAAUGCGGGAAACCGUGAUAAGGGGACACCGAGUGCCAGCAUCAUAUGCUGGCUGUCCAGGUGUGUAAAAUACACCUGUUAGCAAGGGCCGGGCAAGACCGGUGUCAGCCGCCGCGGUAACACCGGCGGCCCGAGUGGUGAUCGUGAUUAUUGGGUCUAAAGGGUCCGUAGCCGGUUUGGUCAGUCCUCCGGGAAAUCUGACGGCUCAACCGUUAGGCUUUCGGGGGAUACUGCCAGGCUUGGAACCGGGAGAGGUAAGAGGUACUACAGGGGUAGGAGUGAAAUCUUGUAAUCCCUGUGAGACCACCUGUGGCGAAGGCGUCUUACCAGAACGGGUUCGACGGUGAGGGACGAAAGCUGGGGGCACGAACCGGAUUAGAUACCCGGGUAGUCCCAGCCGUAAACGAUGCUCGCUAGGUGUCAGGCAUGGCGCGACCGUGUCUGGUGCCGCAGGGAAGCCGUGAAGCGAGCCACCUGGGAAGUACGGCCGCAAGGCUGAAACUUAAAGGAAU
rnacentral:rRNA from 1 species